AGUCAACGCGAUCGGCGUUUCCCUCCUCCCGGUCUCGCUGCGUUGGCUGUUCCCUCUGGAGGUUUGACCUUCAAACUUAAAGGGCUCCGGUUCAUGCCGAGAGCCCUUCUU
rnacentral:sRNA from 17 species